rnacentral:lncRNA from 1 species
CAUAUGGCAGUUGAUCUCUUCUUUUCGAUCGGAUUCACUUGGUCAUAGUGACUCUGAAUCCAUUCAACAUCAGUCAACUUGGGACUUUGAGGGUGCUAUUUCUCUUUUUUUUUUCUUCUUUCUUUUUUUUUCUUUCUUCUGAUUUGAUUUCUUUUGAUUUCUUUUGAUUUUGAUUGAUUUCUUUUUUUUUUUGAUUUUGCACCCUCCUCUUUUUUUUUUCUUUUUCUCUUUUUUGAUAAAUGCCCCAGUUGGCUGUUCUGCUGAUUCUCGAGAUGCAGCUGAGUGUGAUCUUCUUUUCUUGCUCAAGAAAUCGGGAAAUACCGUCAGGAAUCCCUUCAACAUCAUCUUCUUCCGCUUCGAAUACAGGGAAUUCAAAAUUGGGAGAUGACGUCCGAUCAUUAUGUUCAAUGGGUUUGAGAAACAACCUGCAUAAUGAUUUUGAUAUGAAAAGCUUUUUGAAAAUCAAACAAGACAAUCGUUAUGCAGAUGAAAAGAUUGCUUUUAUUCUUGUUUUUUAAGGUUUUUUGUGAUCACCAAUUUCAUGCAAAAAGCGAAAAGGGAAAACAAAUGGAAAACAAAUGUUUAACAUGAAU